rnacentral:rRNA from 1 species
AGGACGAACGCUGGCGGCGUGCCUAAUACAUGCAAGUCGAACGAGACUUUCCUUGGUGGUAACACCUUUGAUUGUCUAGUGGCGAACGGGUGAGUAACACGUGAGAAACCUGCCCUGAAGACGGGGAUAACAGAAGGAAACUUCUGCUAAUACCCGAUACCCCCACCGGAUCGCAUGGUCUGGUGAGGAAAUGGAUUCCGCUUCAGGAGGGUCUCGCGGCCUAUCAGCUUGUUGGUGAGGUAACGGCUCACCAAGGCUUGGACGGGUAGCUGGUCUGAGAGGACGAUCAGCCACACUGGGACUGAGACACGGCCCAGACUCCUACGGGAGGCAGCAGUAAGGAAUAUUGCGCAAUGGGCGAAAGCCUGACGCAGCAACGCCGCGUGCGGGAUGAAGGCCCUCGGUUGUAAACCGCUUUCAGUAGGAAGAAAAUGAACGUACCUAACAGAAGAACGACCCCGGACCAACUACGUGCCAGCAGCCGC